rnacentral:tRNA from 1 species
UUCCUGGUGGGCCCAGUGGUUAAGGCUCCACACUCCCAGUGCAGGGGCCCAGGUUCGAUCCCUGGUCAGGGAA